GCCGAGAUGGUGGAAUGGCAGACACGCUGGUCUUAGAAGCCAGUACCGCAAGGUGUGGGGGUUCAAGUCCCCCUCUCGGCACCA
rnacentral:tRNA from 1 species